rnacentral:rRNA from 1 species
GACGAACCGUCCAAACGUUAUUCGGAAUCACUGGGCUUAAAGGGUGCGUAGGCGGCCCUGAAAGUUGGGUGUGAAAUCCCUCGGCUCAACCGAGGAAUUGCGCCCAAAACUACAGGGCUCGAGGGAGACAGAGGUGAGCGGAACUUGCGGUGGAGCGGUGAAAUGCGUUGAUAUCGCAAGGAACACCAGUGGCGAAAGCGGCUCACUGGGUCUUUUCUGACGCUGAGGCACGAAAGCUAGGGGAGCGAAGAGG